rnacentral:lncRNA from 1 species
UAGCAGUUCUACAAGUGCAGCACCCUGAACACCUCAAAAACUUUGCAACACAAUCACUCAUAAAUACUUUUAUAUGAUGCAAUAUAGCACCACACUUGUUUUUGCACCUUAAAUGAGUUUCCUUAUUACCUGAACUUGAUAGAUAAUUUAGCCAUCUGAACAAAUUUCUUAAAUAUAAUGCUAAAGCUGCUUUAUUUCUUGGAAAAUUACACUGCUUGGUACAAUUCAACAUUUUACAUCCAAUUUCAUACUAAGCAUUGAUAUAUGACAACCGGUACUAUAAGAAUGAAAAGCCUUCGUUUUUAUACCAACAGGUCUCCUUGGGUUUUGGCAGCUAGCAUGUAAACAAAAGACUUUCGCACAUUUGGCACCUUUUCCAACCCCAAUUUUCUCUUACUGGAUAUCUUCUCCAUUUCAAAUGCUCAACAUGUGGAAAACACAACUCUUUACUCUGUCAAUCUCGUUAUCAAUCUCAAUGGCAUUAGAACACUCCCAGCUAACUUCCAGUAAAUUGCAGCGACUUAGCUAUAAUUAUUUUUCCUUUUAGAUGAAAUUUAUGGGAUACCCACAUAUUCUUAGAAACAUGAUAAAAAUUUCUACGAACAGGUUUUCUCACUCAAAAACAUUGACAAAAAUUUUCUUCGUUUUAAUUCUCCUCAAAAUAAAGAGGCUUUUUCAAAGCUUAAUUACUAAAAGCUCGAUCAAAGAAUAUUAUAUAUAGAUAAAAAAAAGAAACUCUCUUUUCUCCUCUCAAGGAAAGGACUUGGAGAGACUACAU